UCCCGGCUAUAAACAACAUAAUUAUAUCAGAGAACUACGAAUACAAAAUUUAAAACUCAAAGAACUUGGCGGUGUUUUAGACCACCCAGGGGAACCUGUUUCAUAAUCGAUAAUCCACGUUAUACCUAACUUUUUUUAAGUCUGUAUACCGUCGUCGUCAGGUAACUUCACAGAAAUUAAAAGUCAGCAACCAAAAUUUUAUUUAUGACCCCAGAUCAAAGUACAACCAAUAAAAAAGAGAAAAUGGGUUACAAUUAUAUAAUUUAUAGCCACAAAAUAAAUGAAAUCCUUCGCUUUAAAAGUAGGACUUGGAAGUAAAUUCAUUUUAUAAAAAUGAAUUGAAUAAGGCUCUGAAACAUGC
rnacentral:rRNA from 1 species